rnacentral:lncRNA from 1 species
AUACAUAGAGAGUUGAGAUAAGAAACCAAUAUAUAUCAUGAGUAUUUCUCCCUUUUUCAUCGUGAGGACUAUGUUUUGUUUUUGGGAUCAUUAGAAGAGUUAUGGCAUAUUUUUUAUUGUUUUUUUAUUAAUUUAUUUACAUCUUAUUUGUAAAGACACCAGUCAAAUCGACGUAUGUUGACCUCUAUAUGUCUUUUCAAUUAUGUUUAUUAGACUACAAACGUACUGAAAAAUAUACUUGUACUGACUUAAAUUUGCUUUUCCAUCACGUAAAAACAAAGAUAAUCUGAAUUUUUUUACCAACAGUCUAUAAUCUUAAAGAGGGAGAGUUUAAGCAUACAGUUGUUAACAUGUCUUCCUCUAAAA